UCGAUUGACGUUACCCGCAGAAGAAGCACCGGCUAACUCCGUGCCAGCAGCCGCGGUAAUACGGAGGGUGCAAGCGUUAAUCGGAAUUACUGGGCGUAAAGCGCACGCAGGUGGUCUGUCAAGUCGGAUGUGAAAUCCCCGGGCUUAACCUGGGAACUGCAUUCGAAACUGGCAGGCUAGAGUCUUGUAGAGGGGGGUAGAAUUCCAGGUGUAGCGGUGAAAUGCGUAGAGAUCUGGAG
rnacentral:rRNA from 1 species